rnacentral:vault_RNA from 1 species
GCGCUGGUUUAGCUCAAUGGUUACAUCUUAUCAUUCAUUGCCAGAUAUCCAACUCCAACGGUCCGCGGGCCAGGAGUUCAAACCAUGGGCGCUGCCCAGCGCUUUU